rnacentral:rRNA from 1 species
AUGUCCAACAUUCAUCCAACACAACACACAAAUGAAAAAGAAGACAACGAAAUGGGCAGGACAACACAAUGCUGCAUACUGCGUGUAGUGUUAAUAUCAUCCUUCUUUGUUAACAUCACCAUGUGGAUGGAAGUACAGACCGAUCCAGAGGAGACAAAUCCAAGUGGAUGCCGAGUAUUCUUUCAUACAAUACAAUAUUUUACCCACUAUACCUUGAUACAAGAUGGGACUCCCAAACCAAAUCGAAAGAAAGAAAGUGUUAGAAAACACGAAAAACCCUCACUAUAUGAACCAGGACAUAAGGCUUCUACAGCAUUUUCAUAG